AUGGUUGUGUUCAAAGACGACCCUUUUUGUGGGGUAAUUACUCGAAGUUUCCCUUCGGCUACAUACCUUGUUCAUAUGGAACAUGCUACUGGGAAGCGUGUUUUUUUUCCUUCUUUCGUUUCCUUCGUUUUUUUAGGUGAACCUCUGUUGCAUGGGAGACAGCGGGGAACUCUGGACUACAGAGCUAUAGUGCAUGAUGUAGGCUAUAACAACCAGUUCAGCCUGCUACCUUCCAAGUUGUUUAUUAUUUGUUGUCUGCACAAAAUGCACUGAAUAAAAUGUUUAUAUUAAGAUAUACUUUUAAAACGUGUCUUCCCCUUUCUUUUCGCACUGACGUACUCCACACACUUCUCUCUAUUCUGUUCACAGCAGAGCCAAUGCAUCAUUUCCACUAAACAUUUUUGUAAAGAUGAAGUGCAUCCCACAUUGUACAAAGUAUCAUACCAGUACAUUGAAUGUGAUACUGUACCAGUGAAUAAGAAGAUGAAAAAUCGGCACAGUUCAAUGUAGAUCAAUGAUGCAGACAGGCGUUGUAAUGUUGUAUGGCUGAUAUGUAGCUAGGCAGGGCUGGAGUACGGUAACCUAACCCUGCUGGCCCUGAGGAGUUAAUGAUCUGAGCAGAAGAAAGCCAGGCCAUGUCCUCCUCCUAUCCUCUUAUCCUAUUGGCCUCUGGACACAGAUGAAUCACCCGGAGCCACACACACACACACAACCAGGAUUGGGCUUUAAUUGCCUGCAGAGUCAAGGCUCCAGUACAGGCUUAUAUAGCACUCGAUUCACAAGCCUACAGCCAGGGCCCAUUCUAUGUAAUGAAUCAAUAUCUCCAAUGGACAUCUGGAGCUGAGGAUAUUUCCUGGAAUAGCCCAUGUGAUAGAGACACUGAUCCAAGGUCAGUUUACAAUUUUAGACCCCAAUGGGUAAAGGUACACUAUGCAGAAAUCCAUCCGCCAUUUCCUGGUUGCUAAAAUUCUAUUUGUUUGCCUAAUUUCAGUUUGUGACAAAACAAGCAAGUAUAGUGCAUAGCUGUGGGGUUAAAUGCUGGGGGUUUUCUUCACAAAAGGAGUGCACUGGGUCUUUAAUAGUCCUGUAUUAGCUGACUGAUAUAGCAGUCUGUAGCGCGGCUGUUUGAAGCUUGUGUACAAAACAGAAACUAAAAGAAGCAAAAACUAAACUUAAGAACGGGAAGCAGAGAAAUAGCGCACAUAGAACAGAUUUAACGCGUCUUAGACUUGCUUUCAAUGAGAAUGUCAGAUCUAGAAUAGAUAGAUCCAUUUUCUAUGUGAAUUUGGUCAGGUUGCCCAAAAGGUUACAUAUUGCAGCUUCAAGGUUAGGAUAUGAGAGGCAAUGUCUACUCAGAACUCAUAGCACAAUACCGCAGAAUCCUGAGCCAUUAGUAUGUUUUCUCCUCUAAACGAGGAGCCUUACACGCAGGGCACGCAGAAGCCUUGAUGUAAUUAGCCCCGGCAGAGGGUCCACUCCCAUUGGAUGGGGAAAUGUCUGACCUGCCUGGUGGAACACUCCAGUUAGGCAAUAUGUUUUGCAUCCAUGCUUGUCUGUGGAACGUAAUGCGGCGCUAAUGCUAAUUGGGAGGCUAAAGUUUACCGUGUGCUUCCCAGCUGAAACAGUUUUUAUGAGGAAAUGUUAUGACGUUUUUGUUCGGUUUGGUCUUCGGCAGGUUUACCGUCGUCAGUGAUUGGUCAACAGUACUACUCCUAGUGUUUGUUUUCAUUCAAGGAGAGAUGACUCGUUUUCAUGCACAUUUGUCCACUUGAGAAAUCGAGACGUUGGGACUAUACGCUUUAAUCUGCUCAAAGCAUACUUCUGAGACAUUUAGCAUCAAGGUUUUCCCAUCCCAGAUCUCAGAACUGUUUUGUAGUGAUUGUUUUUUAGGGGGGCAGAUAGAACCUUAUGGUUCUGAAAUGUCAAUCUGCGUUCAGCCAUGAGAU
rnacentral:lncRNA from 1 species